rnacentral:lncRNA from 1 species
ACGGAGUUCCCUGGUGGCUCGGGUUAAGGAUCUGGCGUUGUCACUGCUGUGACUCAGGUUGCUGUUAUGGUGCAGGUUCGUUCUCUGGCCUUGUUACAUCUGCAUGCCCCAGGUGCGGCCCAGAAGAAAAAAAAAGAAUAAAAAGGAAUAAUUAUUGUAAAUACAGAAAAAAAAAGAAAGAAAGAAAGAAAGAAAGAGCCAGGCUUACAACAUCAAGGGCCUAUACAGCUCGUGACCUGUUCCUGGGUUUCCUGCUACUCUCCCCUGUGACCUCCUGCUCUUCACAAGGUGGCCCCACUUUCCCCACCGAGGAGGUGUCUGCCUCACACUGCUACCAAGUAAGCACUCUCCUGAUUCUUGCUGUCAAAGCUGUUCUGGCCCAGGGCCUUUUCUUUUCAUUCGGCUCGGAUUUUCUUGGGCAUCCUAAUCUCAGGCUGACUUUUCUGGACUGUGGUAAUUGAUACACAUGAUUGUAAAUGAUACAUAAAUAUUUGUCCAAUGAAAUAUAAGUGUCCAUUUCUUUUUUUGAAAAUAACACCUAUACCUUGAGCCUAUACCCACAAAGGCCCUGACUGGUUUCAGUCGUGUGCUUUUGGUCUUUUCUUUUUAUUUUAUUUUAUUUUAUUUUAUUUUAUUUAUUUAUUUAUUUAUUUAUUUUUGUCUUUUUGCUAUUUCUUUGGGCCACUCCUGCGGCAUAUGGAGGUUCCCCGGCUAGGGGUCGAAUUGGAGCUGUAGCCACCGGCCUACGCAAGAGCCACAGCAACGAGGGAUCCGAGCCGAAUCUGCGACCUACACCACAGCUCACAGCAACGCCGGAUCGUUAACCACUGAGCAAGGGCAGGGACCGAACCUGCAAUCUCAUGGUUCCUAGUCUGAUUCGUUAACCACGUUAACCACUGCGCCACGACGGGAACUCUGGUCUUUUCUUUUUAAUUGGUGAGUGUUUUUCAUCCUUGCCUGUUGAAAGGGCGAUGCUCCUUUCCAUGUUUUGUCUGGUAGAUUCUGAGGUGUGGAGCCUGCUCUGAUAAUGUUUCAUAUAUAAAAAGGCUUCUAUGUUUAAAUUAAUGUGUCAAGAAGUGGUAAUAACAGUAAGAUACUGUUUUAAUUUUUCUGAGGAAGCUCAUUACCUUUCGGUGACUUAUUCUGUUUUCUCUGAUAAUCUGUGCUAAAUAUCUUCUUAGAUUGUACCUUUUGUUGAGAUAAGAGAAUAAUCCCAUUUUGUGUCCUUAUGUGAGUAUUAAAUAUGCAACAUCCUAAUGAUGAGGAAGAUGAGCGUAAAUAGAAUAUUUAGUAUUUUGGUUGAACUGAUACCUGAGAGCCAACCCCCCGACCAAAAUCCACCUAAAUUAAAAGUACCAGUUCUUUCUAUACUUUCUCUCAGCUCUCCUAAUCCAGCUAGAGUUUGCUCAUUGGGGGGCGGGGAGAAUUAAGAAGAACAGGAAAAUAAAAACAGUAGCAAAGAGUUUAUCCUGUUUCGCUUUCAUUGUUUUAUAUUUGAUUCUCUGAUGAGAUUAUGGGGAAUCUAUAAACUCUUGGUCCCUUUUGGUAGAGCAUUCCGUUAGCAUGACACUAGUGCUGCAGAAGAGAAUUUGGUUUUGUAGCCUGUGUGGUUGAUUCACUUACUGUGAGUAGAGGAUGAGAGUUUCCAUUAGUAUUCUUCUUCAGUAUUAAUUUUAGAAAAAACUGAUUAUUUUGCAAAGAAAAAAUGGAGCACAACAGAAAAAUGUUUACUUUAUGACACUUGUCAUUUCUUGAUGGGGUGUGUGUGUGUGUGUGUGUGUGUGUGUGUGUGUGUGUGUGUUAUGUUGAGCAGCAAGUAGCUUCAUUAUCUUUCACCACUGGAAGCAGUGAAGAAAAAUAAGUGGCUUUCUGAUGAGGGAAUUAUUUUCAAAAUUUCAAGCCCUCUAAAACUAAAAAGAUUAUUUUUAAUGCCAUAUUAAUAUAAUUGCACAUUUUUUUCCUAAUGUUAAAGUGAUUCUGAUUGUCAAAGAGAACUUUCAAAAAGGUACACUAGUUCAGCGAAGCAGACUAAUAUUUUAGAAAGAAUAUUAGUAAUAAAAAGGACAGAAUUAUGAUAGUUUGAUACAUUAAUUUUAAAAACUUUUUUUCCAUCGCUCUCGAGUCAAGAUGAGAAAACUUAAACAGAAAUGUGGUUCUCAUUUUGAUUGUACUGAAUUUAUUACCGGAAAUGCUAUCCUCCCUUCCGAUGCAGAGGGCUUUAAGUCCUUUUUGUUUAAAAGAGUGUAGGAGAGGUUAAUUUUCUAUAGCAAUGGAAUUAAAAAUUCUCUUCACUGAAUCAUUCCAGGCAGUGUAAUAAAAAAAAUGCAGUAAUUUGAAUAUAGCCAUCAAGGCAGUAGUUAUUUUAGUUAUAAGUGGUCUUCUGCCUUUUUAAGUAGCAGAUUGUCGGAGAUUAUCUAAUUCUGUUUUAUGAAACAGUUGCUCAUAAAAAUGCUUGUUCCUUGUCCUAUAGCUAAGUUCUUUCAUUAACUUUUUUCCUUUAUUACAUAGUACUUUUGUUCCAGUGGUCUGUCACAGAUUUGGGGGGUUCUGCAUUUUAUGAAUGUGUUAUAAACCCAUUCUAAGAAUGUGGUUUACUUUUGCUGCUGUGCCUGCCUAGAAAGUCUUUUCUUGCUUCUCGGCAGACUGUCAGUUAAAUGGUCCGCUUUUUAGAUUUUUAAAUUCUUUGUACCUAUUCCAUGUGCCACUUGGUAUGCCAUUUUGUUUUUACCUUACACUGCCUUUCAAGCCUCCCCAGAGGUGAACUAUCCUUGGAGCCAUCAAAGGGACCCUCAUCGCAUGAACCCCUUGGCAUUUUAUUUACUUAUUUUGUAGCAUGUGGAAGUUCUUGGGCCAGGGAUAGAACCUGCCACAGCAAUGACCCAAGCUGCUGCCGUGACAGCCCUGGAUACCCACUGUGGGUGGCCCUGACAUUUUGCAUACAAAAUGUUGUAGUCUUUUCCUUCUUUUUUCUUUUUUUCUUUUUUUUUUUUUUAGGGCCACACCCUCAGCAUAUGGAAGUUCCCAGGCUAGAGGUUGAAUGGGAGCUGCAGCCGCCAGCCUACACUGAGGCCAGGGAUGGAACCCGUGUCCUCAUGGAUGGUAGUCGGGUUCACUCACCACUGAGCCUCAACAGAACUCCUCUUUCUUCUUUCUUUUAUUUUUUUAAAAUUUUUAUUAUUUAUUUAUUUAUUUUUGGUCUUUUUGCCAUUUCUUGGGCCGCUCCUGCAGCACAUGGAGGCUCCCAGGCUAGGGGUCAAAAUGGAGCUGUAGCCACCGGCCUACACCACAGCCACAGCAACGCAGAAUCCGAGCCGUGUCUGCAACCUACACCACAGCUCACAACAACGCCGGAUCGUUAACCCACUGAGCAAGGGCAGGGAUGGAACCAGCAACCUCAUGGUUCCUAGUGGGAUUCGUUAACCACUGCGCCACAACGGGAACUCCCUUCUUUCUUUUUUUGAAAUUUAUUUUAGUGAAGUGUAGUUGAUCGUAGUCUUAAAGAAGCCCUGCAAUUAUAUGAACUUAGACCCACACAACCUGCCUUUUCUAAAGUUGAAGACCGUUAGAGGAGAUGCAAAACAAACUACGUGUAGAUUGUUAGCUUUGUGUUUUAGGUUAAAAGGAUACAAAUAGAGUAUGUGAAUGGGUCCGUGUGUGAUGUCAGAUUUAGUUUAUCACGAUAACCAUCCGGAGUGCACCAGAUGUUUUGACUGUAUUUAGCUUCAUAUUGAAUUAAGCACAGCCAGUGGCCUCCAAAGUCCAUCUGUACUGCUGCCAAAGGUAGCUCUGAAGACAGCGCCUUUCCCUUCUGCCCACUGCUAGCUGCUCUUUUCCUCUUGCCACGAUGUUGAGGCUUUUGAAUUGCUCUUGGGAAAGGUGAGUCUCUGUAUCUGAAAUUUGCAUGCAGUUUAUCUGCCUUCUUGAAUGAAGGGGCUUGCCCUUUUCAUUUCAAUAGGUCGUCAUUUUCAAUUUUUGCUUAUCCAUAAACCAGUAGAAAUAAAUCAAAUAAAUCAGAUUAGUUAGGAGCUUAUUGAGGCCUAAAGUCUAGUGAGAGAGGGCAGCCGUCUAUACACAAGUAACAAUUAAACACACGUAUGCCUGAGGUUUCUGUAUGCUUGCUACUAAUCACGGAAAAAAACAAAUUAUUGCUUUUGUUAUAUAAAUAUGUAUUACGAUCUGAAAACCCUUAGUUUUGUUUACACUCAGAAAGACAAGUAUUAAAAUCACUCAAAACCUUUAUAAGGAUUUAAAUGAGUGUACCUUGACUUUUACGUAAUUUCUGCUUCAUCAGCGUAAUCAAAGGAUGCAUGGAUUCUUUCCCCGCGGGAGGGAAGCCGACAGCUGCAGUGCUCGCUCUCAGUGUGAGGAUCGUGAAGAUGGCAGACCUUGCAGAGCAGACAGUUUCCUCCCAUACCUGCUCCCACCCUUCCUAGAAAAAGCAUUUAGACGCCUCUGAAAUGAGACCCGCAAAGCGUGUGCUAAUGCCAGAACAAAUAUCUUGGAAAUUUUAUCAUAAUGUUGCUUUUUAAGGCCCUAAAUGUCCUCUAUUUAAAAUGAAAUUCUUUUGUAUUAACCUCCUUUCAUAUGCUGGCUUUCACCAGCCUGCAGAAUUGCCUGAUUUGACUUUCUAAUGUAACUGUAAUGAAUCUUCUGGGAAGCCAAACGAUUGAACACGCGUACUCUGCGUCUCCAUUGUAAGAUAGUCAGUCCUGUCGAUGUUGCUGNGAUUAAAAAAAAAAAAAAAAAAAAAA